GACGAACGCUGGCGGCGUGCCUAAUACAUGCAAGUCGAACGAACCGCGACCAGGUGCUUGCACUUGGUCAAGGUGAGUGGCGAACGGGUGAGUAACACGUGGGUAACCUACCUCAUAGUGGGGGAUAACAGUCGGAAACGACUGCUAAUACCGCAUAGGACAUAGGAUCACAUGAUCCAGUGAGGAAAGGUGGCGCAAGCUAUCGCUAAGAGAUGGACCCGCGGUGCAUUAGCUAGUUGGUAGGGUAAAGGCCUACCAAGGCGAUGAUGCAUAGCCGACCUGAGAGGGUGACCGGCCACAUUGGGACUGAGACACGGCCCAAACUCCUACGGGAGGCAGCAGUAGGGAAUCUUCCGCAAUGGACGCAAGUCUGACGGAGCAACGCCGCGUGAGUGAAGAAGGUCUUCGGAUCGUAAAGCUCUGUUGUUAGAGAAGAACAGCGCAUAGAGUAACUGUUAUGCGUGUGACGGUAUCUAACCAGAAAGCCACGGCUAACUACGUG
rnacentral:rRNA from 1 species